ensembl:snRNA U6 U6 spliceosomal RNA
GUGCUGGCUUCAGCAGCACAUGUACUAAAAUUACAACGAUACAGAGAAUAUUAGCAUGGCUCCUGUGCAAGGAUGUCAUGAAAAUUCAUGAAGCCGUCCAUUAAAAAAAAAAAAUUUUU